AGCUCCAUGCUGAGCACAGAGCCCCAUGCAGGACUCCAUCUGAGGACCCUAAGCUCAUGACCUGAGCUGAAACCAAGAGUUGGACACCUAACUGCGCCACUCAGGUGCCCCUAGAGUGGUAUGUUUUAAUGUGUGUUUAUCCACAUUAAAUGUGGAUGCAUAAAAUUUGUGACCACCAUAUAGUAGAAGCCGCUAAGGGGGAAUUUUUUGAUUCUGUCCUUAUUAGUUACAAAGCGCUUCUCAGUUGAAAUGUUUUGAAGCAUGGCCUGUUUCAUACUCAUUUUCUCUCCCAGUCCUGCACUAAGUUGACCUCAGUAAGGAAGGCAGGGAGCUGAAUGGUUUCCCAUUAAGUUUUUUCAGUUCAUUACACCAAAUUUUAAGUUAAUUUGGUUUUGUGUCAGUUUUUAACUGGUUUUGUGUCAUCACAUUUCUACUUUAAAUUUACAAAAGAACAGUUUUGCUUGGAAUCUACAUUCUAGGUAUUUCCAUAGGAGUGCAUUACAUUAUUAGAUGAACUUGGAACAGAUUCUGGAAACAUGGAACCUGAGUUUGUCUUUCCUCCACUUGGCUGCUAGGAUCUACAGACUGCUGGGCACAGUCAUUUCCCCCAGUGAGUCUCUUGUGUUUAAUUCAACUUGCAUCUGUUUCUUGGAGGACCUGAACUGAUAAAAUCUGCUGUGAUGCAAUGAGGGGAAAAAUCACUUCUAUGAUAUUUCUGCCAAAAAAUACAUGAUCCGAAUCUCUUCAUGAGGAAACACCAGACAAAUCCAACUGAGGUAACUUGUAAAAAAACAAGUGGCCUAUAGUCCCCAAAACUGUCAAGAUACGAUUUAAAAAAGACUGAAAAUUGUUCUAGGUUGAAAGAGAUGAGAUAACUAGAUGCAUGUGUGAUCCUGUAUUGAAUUGUUACAAAGGACAUUAUUAAGAUAAGUGGAAAACUGGUUCUUUUUAUUAGAUGGUGAUAACCAUCUUGAUGGCACAAGACAAAAUGCUCACUGGAGAAUUCAGGGAUAAUGAAUGGAUCAUCACGUCUGAAACUGGGUUCAGAAGAUAAAGGUCUUUGCACUAUUUCUGCAACUUGCCUAUAGAUUUGAAAUUCUCAUCUUUCAAGGAGUAAUGUGGAAUAUGGAGAAUGGACUCAGGAGCUAAGAAGGAAAGUCACAAAUUGGAAAGCUGUUGCAGAUGUCCAGCUAACCAUGAGUGGGCCAGCAGGUUUGGUAAGCAAAGAGAGAUUCAAGGUAGAUUUAAAUGAUCAAAUUCACCAGACUCACUGAUGAAUUGGAUAUGGAGGGUAAGAAAAAGGGUUAUUGAAGAUAAUUUUUUUGUUUCUGGCUUUAGCAACUGAGUGGAGGCUAGCCACUCAGUGUAGCAAGAAAGAUGGAGGGGAUAAUAGGUUUGGGAAGAAAUUCAAGAGUUAUAAUUGAGUAGGGAGUUGGUUAUAUGGAACUAGACCUUAGAGUAGAAGUCUGGGAUAGAGGUAUAAAUUUAAGAAUUAAUAGCAUAUAGAGCCAUUGAAAUAGAUGGGAUCGCCUGCCAGGAAAAAGUAGACAUUAAAAGAAGUCCCUCAAUUAAACCCUGAUGACCUCCACCAUUUAUGGGUCAGUUAGAAGAAAUACAGCUAAGGAGACCAAAUUUGAUGGAACAAAUUUAACCUAUUACUCAUCUGUCCCAGACUUUUAAAAUGGAAUGUAGGCAGGAUUCUCCUUGCUUAUCCAAGAGGAAGCCAUGCCACUGUGCUGGAUUUGUGAGCUCCUGCCUCAGAAAACAUUUUCCAUUGUAAUUUUCCCUCGGGCUGCAAUGGGCUGACCAUUGCUGCUUCCAGCAUCACCCCCUAUUGGGAUAGUGACUGAAAACAGGAUGAACUCUAAAUAUGCUUUUAAAUUUGCACUUGCAUUAGGCUGACUCCUCAUAAGAACUUUGGGAAUUACUUUCUCUCCUGGGGCUCAUUAGAAGCUUCCUCAGUUUAACAAACAGGUAACUAGCUGCCUUAUUACAUAUGUAAUAGGGGGAAGACUACUCUCAUUUUCAAUUCACUGUCAUUGUUACCAUCAAAGGGAAUUGCAAAUGAGAGUUUUCUUAAAUACAAUUAGCUUAAAGCUACUUAAGUAUUCUUUCAGAAAACAUUCUUACUUAAAAAUGUUCAACUCUGGUCUGUGUCUGAAAGAUAUACAACACAUAUAGACUGAUUUUAUUUAUUUUAUACAUUUGCUGUUAUAAAAUUUGAUAAAAGUAGUCCACAUUCUUUAGAUAAAGAUGGGUGGUAGUUCUUUUUGGGAAGCCCCAGUAACAGGUGAGUAGGAAAAGCAAAAACAAAACUAAGUACGCAGGAAAACAAUUCUUUAGGAGUGAAAAAAGUUGGGGAGGUCAGUCAUCGCGACAUUUCAGUGAGGGAAUUUCUGGGAAGAUGUCACAAAUAUACAUAGGGACCAAGAGAUCUGUUCCAGUGUCCCAUAAGAUGUGUAUUUUGUAUGACCCCUACUCAAGAUCGUCUCAAGAGGUCUUGAGAAAGCUGAUGUUGAAAGACUGAAAGCGUUUUACUUAUCUGUCAGUUGAACAGUAAGACUUCUGUCUCAACUCUGCCAUUCACUACGGAAAAGCUUCACCAAAUGGAGUUUGGCUCUGCCUUUUCCCCAGGUUCCUGUUCUCUGUCCUCAUAUUAAUAAACAAUCGAGCUAGAGUUCUUGGCUUCUAACCUUCCAAAAUGUUAAUAGUGAAAUCAGUGGUAGUGUGUUGAGUUAUUUGAGUGGUAAUUGCCAUUGCACAGAGCAAAAGGAGAGGCCAGCUGAAUAGGCUGUCUUCAGUAUCACCAGUCAGCACACAAUUGCUUUUCUCCUUUUCCCCAGAGUUGACCAAAGACCCUGAAUAGGGCUCAGCUGAAGUGUACACAUGGAAAUAACGUAUUUCAUGGAGCCUUAGAGAUGCCUACUAAUGUGCACUAUUCUCUUACUUCACCCUUGCUCUCUCAGAGGCGUUUUGUCUUGUUCUCUGUCUUGUUCAUCACUGCCUUGCCGGCACACAGAAUAGUGCCCAGCACCUAGGAGAUGCAUUUGAAUAUUUGUUGACUUACUGGGUAGUAAAAUUAGCAUAACCUUGUAGACAUGAGAUAUGGCUUGCUUACAUUACUGGAUUUAAUAAAUAUUCCAAAAAUACUGGCUCUAAAUAAUUUGUCAAUUUUUCAUAUUUUAUAUGUCCUAUAAAACCAGGGAAUAUAAUUUAAUACAAUUAUGCUACACCAGAGGAUCUUUGUUUUUCUGGACUACUGCAAACAUGUUCCCUUUUCUCAAUUUCUCCCACUGGUAGCAUCUUAUGGAACUAUAGAACAGUAUCCCAACUGGGGUAGUCACAUGGAUAUAGUCAGGUAGACUAGUCCUAUCACAAGGGCUCCUCAUUUUGCCCUUUUACAGCAACACGUACUCUCUUGCCCCUACCCUGUACCCAGCCCUGGCAAGCAUUAAUCUGGUCUCCACUACUACAACUUUGUCAUUGCCAAAAUACUAACAUAAAUGGAAUUAUAUAUAGUAUGUAAUCUCUUGGAACUGGUUUUUUCCCCUCAGCAUAAUUCCCCGACAAUUAAUCCAGAUUGCCAAUAAUUAGAAAAGAAUUCAGUCUUACUGGUAAUUAAGGAAACGUAAAUGAAGAAGAUGAUGAUGAUACUGUUUUGUUAAACCAAUAAAGCUUAAAAAAACACAAAAAGGAAAACAUCCAAUGUAUGCAAAAUUUGAGGAAAAUGGGUGCUUUCAUAAAAACAAUAACAGCUAAUAUUGAUUGCCUAUUACAUGCUUUGCAAGAUUCUAAGCAUUUUACCUAUGUCAAUUUAUCUAAGCACAACAACUCUGUGAGGUAAAAAUGUUGCAGAUACGAGCUGAAUAUUACUGUCAUCAUUAUCCAUAUAACUGGGCAGUUAUAUUGACAAUGCAGCCCAUAUGAACACAUCAAAAAAAAAAAAAAAGUCACUGAAAUGUUUGUGACUCAGAGCACAUUUGAACAAUUCCUAUUUAACAUGUCAUGUGAUACACCUCUUCAGAGUCACAUACUUAUUACUGUUACUCAAAAUAAUGACAAUAAAUGUAUCCUAGUAUUUUGACCCUAGUGCCAUUAUGAAUUAAUGUUGAAUAUCUGUUCAUCUUGGAUUUUCUUUUUUGUGCUUCUUGGGAUUUUGAUUAUCCCACAGUAGAAUCAUUAUGUAAUUUUGUAAAAAGAUUUCUUUGUAGCAAAUUCUUCAUAGAGAAAAUAUAGAGGACUCAAAAUAAUUCUCAACAGAUUUCAGAUAUGGAUUAUAUGUUCUAAUUUUACCUAGUGGGAAAUAGAGUACUAACUAAAUUUGCCCUUCACCCACAGAACAUAUGAAUUGACUAAAUGAGACGCUAAUUGCAUGAAUAAGGUAGAGACAGAAAGUCUGAGAAUAAAUUCCUAUUUAAGUACUAUAUUGACAAGUAUCUGUUCAAUUCAUGUAUUACAGCCCUUUUCAAGAUAAGUAAAUUUACUUCUCGACUUCAUUAAAUUCACAUUCAAAUUUAUAAAUUUCUCACAUUAUCAUAUUGCAAAGCCCAAAUUAUCUUAGAUUCUUAAUAAGAAAAUAGGGGUAUGACCAAAAGAAAUAAUUUAAAUGAUAUUUACUUUUAUGUAGUGAAUAGAUUCAUUUCUGAAAUAGGGACCUGUGCUAUAAAUCCUAUAAAUUAAAUCCUGUUUGCUCAUUGAACUCUAGUCUGUAUGUGGAAUUACUCUUUGGGAAAAUGUAUGCCACAAUCUAGUUUAGCUCUGAUACUGCUCUUUGGAGCAGGGACGUUUCCAUAAUAACAAUGUAGCCUUUUCUCCAGUGACCCACCCAGCUCCUGGGAAGUUCCUAUAGUUUAUUCCUGUGAUCUGGCUUCCUCCUAUUUGGAUAAUCGGAGGGUUUGAGUACAAAGUAACAGCUGACAGAUUUUGAGCUCCUACUGUCAGGCAUGAUUCUAAUAAGCACUUUACAGGGAUAAUGGAAACCUGUGAGGUAGAAUUUAUUAGCUCUUUUGUAGAUGGCGAAACUGACGAACACAGGGAGCUCUCCCUAGGAAGGGCUUGAGAACAUGUUUUGAUUCCAGAGCUGAGAUUAGGGCCAACAAUACACUAUAUUGCCUUCUUAUUUUCUAGACUAGAGCUUCUCAGUCAUGGAUGGGUUCUAGGUGAGCUCAGGCAUGGAUCCUCUCAGCACAUGGGGUUGCCAGACAGGACCGGUAGCCCAACUCACCUGUCUCUUCCCAUAGUUGUGAGCAGCUUCAUUCACUUAGACCAGUGGAGGGUCUUCACCAAGAUGAUUGUUUUCUUUAUAUGCCAUAGUGUGAAAGUAUCUGACAAACACAUUGCCCUAGAACAAAGUACACAUUUAGAGGUAAAUAUAUGAACUGUGUUUCCUAACUUGCAACUGACUUUAAAAUAAAUGUUCAGAUUCCGUUAUCUUUUGACAGGAAAUAACAUGUAUACCUUACAUAAUUCUACUUUAUGUUACUUCUUAAUCAACUAUUACAAAUGAAAAAAGGAUUGAGAACAAAAGCUAAUCAUUUUUCUCAUUGAUAUUUUGUUACAAUUCAUAUUAAUUGUUCUUCCCUGUACAUUAGGCAACAUUGACCCUGACUAGUUACCAUGAAGUCUUAACAUCAUUAAAGCUGUCUUUAUUUAAUUAUUAUUGGUAAAUCAUUUUUUAUUUAUUUGGGCUGCCUGCUUCCCAAUUAAUUGAAUUGGCAAAUAUUUCACCUUGAAUUUCAAUGUACCACAAAGCACAUCAGAGUACAUAAGGUUAAUAAGGGAGUGCUUUCUGAAGAAGGACAUCUGCAGGUUUAAAAAUAUAUAUAUGAUGGAGAAACUAGGUAUGCUCUUGAAUAUCAGCUCUUGUGCAGCACUAUAGUGACUUUGGAGACUUCACAUCUUCAGUACCAGAAUGAAAUAAAGACGAAACAGUUGAGAGUUCCUGGGCAUCUUAGAAAGAGCUCAGAAGGAACCCACUCGUAACCCAGCUGGCUUCAAUAAAAGUGUAGACACGAACACUUGCACUCAUAUGUGUUCAUUGUGUUUAAAAUGAUUUGUUCACAAUCCAUUAAUCAUGGAAGCUCAUCUGGAAGUAUGGUUUGUAGACCACAAAUCCGAUUUUACCUCAAUAGAAGUUUUCAGGUAAAGAUAAACAUGUUCCAGAUAAGUCAAAGAGGGGGAAAAAAUAAUCUUUUCUUGACUUCAAUAAGCCAGAGAAUGAUGGCCCACUUAUAACACAUCCAGUCCUGUUUAGUAUCUUGGUGGGGUCCAUCUUUGGAUCUUGGACCAUUUGCAUCUGGUCUGGGUAACGGAUUCCAUAUGAAAUACCAGGGAGGAGAAAGCAAAGGUGACUUUGAAGUUCUAAGCCUCACUAACUCAGUGGCAAUGGGCCACUGGAAAGUAUCACCAGGAAGAGGAGCUGGUUGGGUAUGUAUGGGCUGGUGAAGAUGAUGAAUUCUUUGGAGCACAUGUAGAUCUGAAGGAACCAGGAGGAGAUUCAAGUGGCAAUUUCAUGAAAGCAAUUGAAAAUGCUUGCCUGGGAUCAUGUGGAAAGAUUAGGAGUAGAACUUUUGAGCUGGGAGACAUCUACUCAUAAUCUUAGGAGUGAAAGAGACCUUCUCUCCAAGAAAGAAAGGAUAAAGAUAAGCUAAAGAAGCCUCAUCACAUUGCUGGGAUAACCAGUUUCUCAGGAGGAGAAAGGCUGGAGGCAAAGGCUGACAAAGGCCACACUGGCCACCUUGAUUUUCCCCAACCCACCAAACAUAGACCCCUUUCAACCUCAGCCUGGAAUGCUCUUUCUUCCCACAGAGUUAGAAUUGCUUUCUUUGUGCUCCCAGAAUACUCUGUUUCUGAUGCUACAUUCAACCACAGACUAUGACAGUUAACUGUUCAGCUUCCUGUUUCACCUGCGACACAGUAAAUAUUCAUUGAAUGAAUGAACUGGUUAUAUGGAAUGGAGACUGUGCUCAGGCCACAUUUCAGUACUCGAGAUCUUGGCAUUCUCAUAAAUUGGUCAGAUGGUGUGUUAUUUCAAGGAAAAUAAAACUGCUCAUUGUGUGUCCGCCAUUCCCAGAACAAA